AUCUUCCACAAUGGACGAAAGUCUGAUGGAGCAACGCCGCGUGAGUGAUGAAGGUUUUCGGAUCGUAAAACUCUGUUGUAAGGGAAGAACAAGUACGUUAGGAAAUGAACGUACCUUGACGGUACCUUAUUAGAAAGCCACGGCUAACUACGUGCCAGCAGCCGCGGUAAUACGUAGGUGGCAAGCGUUGUCCGGAUUUAUUGGGCGUAAAGCGCGCGCAGGUGGUUUCUUAAGUCUGAUGUGAAAGCCCACGGCUCAACCGUGGAGGGUCAUUGGAAACUGGGGAACUUGAGUGCAGAAGAGGAUAGUGGAAUUCCAAGUGUAGCGGUGAAAUGCGUAGAGAUUUGGAGGAACACCAGUGGCGAAGGCGACUGUCUGGUCUGUAACUGACACUGAGGCGCGAAAGCGUGGGGAGCAAACAGG
rnacentral:rRNA from 1 species